rnacentral:rRNA from 1 species
AAACAUCGAUGGCCACUUACUUAAACCAUCCGCCAGGGAACUACGAGCAUUAGCUUAAAACCCAAAGGACUUGGCGGUGCUUUAGAUCCACCUAGAGGAGCCUGUUCUAGAACCGAUAACCCCCGUUAAACCUCACCUUUCCUUGUUCAACCCGCCUAUAUACCACCGUCGUCAGCUUAUCCUGUGAAGGCCUUUUAAUAAGCAAAAUUGGCAAAGCCUAAAACGUCAGGUCGAGGUGUAGCGUACGGAAAGGGAAGCAAUGGGCUACAUUACCUGCCCCAGGUAACCACGGACGAUUUAUUGAAAAAUAAAUCCAAAGGAGGAUUUAGUAG